GACGAACGCUGGCGGCGUGCUUAACACAUGCAAGUCGAGCGGUAAGGCCUUUUCGGGGGUACACGAGCGGCGAACGGGUGAGUAACACGUGGGUGACCUGCCCUCAGCUCUGGGAUAAGCCUGGGAAACCGGGUCUAAUACUGGAUAUGACUCCAUGACGCAUGUUGUGGGGUGGAAAGCCUUGUGCGGCUGAGGAUGGGCCCGCGGCCUAUCAGCUUGUUGGUGGGGUGANGGCCUACCAAGGCGACGACGGGUAGCCGGCCUGAGAGGGCGACCGGCCACACUGGGACUGAGACACGGCCCAGACUCCUACGGGAGGCAGCAGUGGGGAAUCUUGCGCAAUGGGCGAAAGCCUGACGCAGCGACGCCGCGUGAGGGAUGACGGCCU
rnacentral:rRNA from 1 species